UUGUUUAGAAAAUGCGUAUUUUUGUGGCUAAUAAAGAGGAAUACACCAAACUGUAAAAGAACUGAUUGUGUCAGCAGGAACUAUGGCCAGAGUCCAUCUAGGCCUGCAUCUUUCAUCUGACAAAGUGGAUGGAGGACUGUGCCAUUCUUGGUUUCUCCUCAGGUACUUUGGAUCCAACUCUGACUUCUCCAGAGCAUCUCACCACCUACACAAGAGUGGAAAAGCACCAGUUUCCUCAUCGUAAGGUAUCUGCUGUCUGUAAAGCUUUAUUUCAGAUAGGAACACGUACCCUUGGAGAAAUUUCAGAGGGCAAGUUCCAGCUGUGGCAGUGCCCAAUCAAAAGGCUGCAAGAGGUUUUUUUUCUUCCCCCAGCACUGGCCUGGAGAAGGAGACAAGUGUCCCGAGGAUACAAGGUGCCCCAACUUCAUGGACGCUGGCAGAUACCUUGGCUGUGUGUUUUGGAGUAUUUACUAUUGGUGGGUUGGUAAAUACAAUGACAGGGGUGUUCAAUCCCACGGACGCCGGCAGAUCCCUGGCUGUGUUUUGGGGUAUUUACCGUCAGCUGGAGAGCCGGGCUCCAGC
rnacentral:lncRNA from 1 species